rnacentral:rRNA from 1 species
CAGCAGCCACGGGAAUACAGAGGGUGCAAGCGUUAAUCGGAAUUACUGGGCGUAAAGCGCGCGUAGGUGGUUUGUUAAGUUGGAUGUGAAAGCCCCGGGCUCAACCUGGGAACUGCAUCCAAAACUGGCAAGCUAGAGUACGGUAGAGGGUGGUGGAAUUUCCUGUGUAGCGGUGAAAUGCGUAGAUAUAGGAAGGAACACCAGUGGCGAAGGCGACCACCUGGACUGAUACUGACACUGAGGUGCGAAAGCGUGGGGAGCAAACAGGAUUAGAUACCCGAGUAGUCCUGUCUCUUAUACA